rnacentral:lncRNA from 1 species
CACAAGUAGGGUUGCUCUCUUGAGAUCAUAUGGAUGAUCCAAGUAAGUCCCAUCCUUUGGAAUAAGGCAACAUAAGGUAUAAACAAUAAUCAAGUUUCAUAUGAGAACCACAGAAAGAGGAAACAGAAUGCCAAUCAAUGGACUUACAUCCAACUCCUAACAACAAAACUGGAAACAGGAUGCCAAUAUAUGGACUUACAUCCAACUCCUA